GUUGAAAAACCGUCUCUCUGGGCAUCGGUCUCUCAUUAACCGAUACGCAGAUUUGAAAUCUUCCGACCCGAACAGAGCGACGGAGAGGGAGGAAGAAUUCAAAAAGACGGCGUUGAUGGUCCAUGUGAUUGAAAACGAACACCGAUUCGAUUUACCUGGUACUAAAAUUCUAGAACAGGACAAUCGUCUGAACGCACUUCAAGUUCUUGAAAUGUGUCACAUUUUUUGUGACACCAAAACGGUUAACUAUAGAACCGACACAAGUAAUUUAAGUGUUGUUUACUCGGGUCUUCUGCACUCAAUCACGAACGGAGAAAGAUAGCAGAACAUCAUCACAGCACGCUGUGAUUCUCUGUUUCUGUUAAUGUUUCCGUCCUUUAUGUUCCAUCUUUUCGUUUGACGUCUCCACUCAUAGACAUUUUAAUUCAAACCUGUUUAGAUGUGCCUAGGUGAAAGCUGUGUAAGUUUGUGCUCCGUCCAAUGUUUUAAUUAUUGUAAAAACGAAUCAAGUCAUUAUGUCCGAAAUUUGUAUGUAUAAUUACAGUGUAAUGUUGUUAGCCGUUCCAUCAGUCCAUGUCCAAACCCACUUGACCUAAAAACAACUUUUGAUGUGAGUAAUUUUUUUUGUAUAACAAAUGACUUGACUACUCAAACUUUGUAUGUAAAUUGUAGUUUGCCCUGAAGAUGAGUGAAUAAACGCUCGAAACGUCGGCUUUAAUUAAAACAGUUGUUUUAUAAGCAACCCGAGGACCGAAAAUACGCCAGCAAUCGCUAUCAAAUUAUCAAAGACGGUCGUUAUUUUAUCAAUAUCAUCAAUGGCGUCAACCAACAGCAGUACUACAACUUUCUACAACAGUCUUCCACCAUCACAACGCACACUAUUCAAACAGUACGCACAAACAGUCAAGAAGAUGUGCGCCCAAAAAUCGAGGAAAGAAUUCCUGCGGCAAUGUCGCCGGCAAGGUGUACGACCAGCGCACAUACAGAACACUUUUCGAUGCACUCACUCGCUGCUAGAGGAUGCCAGUCCGUACCGAGGCAAGCUGGAAAAAGCUAUGGAGCUCUUCACGCGCACAAUUCUCAACACCGAGAUAAAAGACAGCUUCUACAAAAUGCAGCGGCUGGAAAGAGACAAAGCGAGCCUCACUAGCCAAAUCACACAGGUAAGCCUACCGCACAUCUACAGUACCUUUUUCCAAAGCCAAGAAUCUUUCUCCAAAAAACAAGAUCGCCUUUCAAAGGUUAGAAUAGAGAGGAAGAUUCAACGGCUGCUUGCACGGGUUGAAGUUGAAAACACCGUCUCCUUCACCGAAAACGAUGCUUGGAUACGGAAUACCACUAACGUGGAGGUUCCCAACCACACAAAAAUUCUAUUAGGAUAUGGUCCCAAAUUCGCCUUGCCGUUUGAGAAUAAUCAAGAAAUACCUUAUUUCAAGAUUAUUGCGGAUUUGGAAUCUAUCCUCAAACUUGAGCCGGAUCCGAUUCUUCAAGCGGCCCACCGCAAUCAGUUCACCAACAUCCUUCAAAAUUACGUGAACAAGAGGAAGAAUGGUUGUUUCAACACCACCUCCAACCGCGUUGAACACUUCAUGACCGAAGCGCUUAGCACUAGUAGAAAGUUCAUCCGUGAUCAUCCUGAUGUAUACAUCGUACCCGCUGACAAGGGCAAUAAAACUGUGAUCAUGCUAAAAAACGAAUAUGAAGAGAAGAUGGAUGCACUUGUCAGCGAUGCGAACACAUACGAAAGGAUCGAUACGGAUUGGACUAAUAAAAUACAAACGCACAACAACAAGCUAGUGAAUAAGCUCUUCGACCAGAAGAUGAUCGAUCAACAAACCAGGUCGAAGUUGGUUUCCUACCACGCGACCUGUCCAAAAAUAUACGGGCUCCCUAAAAUACACAAACCGGACAGUCCACUCAGAGUCAUAUUAUCGUGCAUUAAUUGCCCGACAUAUGAUCUGUCCAAGUACCUUGCAGACAUACUACACCGCUCGAUCGACCACGACAAAUACAAUGUGCAAAAUUCAUAUGAGUUCUGCACAUUCAUAAACAAUAUCAACCUGCCUCCAGGCUAUGUAUUGGUCUCGUUCGAUGUGGUAAGCCUGUUUACGUGUAUUCCACGGGACGUUGCGAUAGAAGCGGUGCGAAAGAACUGGAGUAUGAUCGAGAAAAACACCACAAUAAAGAAUGUCGAAAUGUUCAUAGAACUAAUUAAAUUCAAUCUCUCCUCCAGUUAUUUCGUCCACCGUGGCAACUUCUACUGUCAAAAGUCGGGAACGGCAAUGGGUAACCCAUUGUCUCCGGCUCUUGCAGAUUUAGUGAUGGAAACAUUGCUAGAUCACGUGCUUGAAGGGAUUGAUAUUCCUAUUCCAUUUUUGAAAAAGUACGUCGACGAUUUGAUCACCGCUCUCCCAAUCGACAUGAUUGAACAUGUGAGAAAUGCGCUCAACGAGUUCAACUCACACAUUCAAUUUACGUGUGAAAUGGAAAAUAAUAAUCAGCUGCCGUAUCUUGACAUGCUGCUUAUACGCACAGCGCAGCAAAAAAUCGUCACCGACUGGUACAAAAAACCUGUAGCAUCGGGGCGCAUUUUGAAUUAUUUUUCAUUUCACCCUCUCACACAAAAACUAAACACGGCCACUGGCUUUAUUGGGAGAGUGUUCAAGUUGUCGACGUGCAGAUCAGAAAAUGAGAAAAAAGAGUUGGUCCGGGAUUAUCUGCUAAACAACAACUACUCAAGUUCAUUGAUAAAUCGGUUGAUAAACCGAUAUAUCAACAAGAACACAAACACACAUGAGAGUAACAGCAGUACACAUCCCGAACCAAAAAUGUAUCGAUCUCUUCACCACGUAGAGAAGCUCACGCCGGCUCUCGCAAAAGUCAUCAAUAGAAACUUCCCCAACGUUCAACUGGGCUUCAAAUGCGUCAAAACAAACAGACUGUUGUUUUCGAAGCUCAAAGAUGCAACGCCGCAGUUGGAGAAGAGAAAUGUGAUUUACCGCAUUCCCUGCGCCGAUUGCGACUGCGCAUACAUUGGGCUGACUACGCAACAGUUGAAAAACCGUCUCUCUGGGCAUCGGUCUCUCAUUAACCGAUACGCAGAUUUGAAAUCUUCCGACCCGAACAGAGCGACGGAGAGGGAGGAAGAAUUCAAAAAGACGGCGUUGAUGGUCCAUGUGAUUGAAAACGAACACCGAUUCGAUUUACCUGGUACUAAAAUUCUAGAACAGGACAAUCGUCUGAACGCACUUCAAGUUCUUGAAAUGUGUCACAUUUUUUGUGACACCAAAACGGUUAACUAUAGAACCGACACAAGUAAUUUAAGUGUUGUUUACUCGGGUCUUCUGCACUCAAUCACGAACGGAGAAAGAUAGCAGAACAUCAUCACAGCACGCUGUGAUUCUCUGUUUCUGUUAAUGUUUCCGUCCUUUAUGUUCCAUCUUUUCGUUUGACGUCUCCACUCAUAGACAUUUUAAUUCAAACCUGUUUAGAUGUGCCUAGGUGAAAGCUGUGUAAGUUUGUGCUCCGUCCAAUGUUUUAAUUAUUGUAAAAACGAAUCAAGUCAUUAUGUCCGAAAUUUGUAUGUAUAAUUACAGUGUAAUGUUGUUAGCCGUUCCAUCAGUCCAUGUCCAAACCCACUUGACCUAAAAACAACUUUUGAUUUUGCCCUGAAGAUGAGUGAAUAAACGCUCGAAACGUCGGCUUUAAUUAAAACAGUUGUUUUAUAAGCAACCCGAGGACCGAAAAUACGCCAGCAAUCGCUAUCAAAUUAUCAAAGACGGUCGUUAUUUUAU